AUGCAGCUGAUCCAGGCACGUAUCUCCGAGAUGCUGCGCAGAUCUCCCAAUUCAAAAGAGGUUCUUGCCCACAUUCAGAUGAUUCUAUGACUGGGAGGUGCAAGACCUUCUUGCCAAGAAAGAAGCACUGAACAAAGUCCAGAAUUACUUCUUCCUGGAAAGUGUAGUCAGGUCACUCAGAGAUGUGCCUGGAGGAAGAAC
rnacentral:lncRNA from 1 species